UUAAAAAAGUAUUUUUGGAAUAAAAUUAAAAAGUAAAGGGUAAAAUUAAAAGAAUUGAAAAGGUAGCAUAAUUUUGAAAACAGACGCAAUUGCCAGUUACCAAUGAAAUUGAAAUCAUGCCACGUGGUGGGCCUUGUCUAUAAAUACAACAAAUUCGUAGUGAGAGAGUUCAGAAUUUUCAGUUUUCCUUCUCAGACUUGAGACUAUUUCCCUCCUUUUUUCCCUAAACCUUCAAGAAACCACAAAUGCCGGAUUUCUUUGAUCGGCCAGAUUUCUCCCUCCGUUUAGUAUUUCCUUUCCAUUUUCUUUUAUUCGCUCUUUCUACCUUCUUUUCUUUGAUGGCCAGUAGAAGCGGAUUAUCGAUUUACGACUACUUUCUCCGGUGGCUGUCGAUUGAAAUUUCAAGGUGAUUACAGAAUAGCAGAUGAUCGAUUCUUCGCGGCUUCUUGGACGACGUUUAUCAAGCGGCGAUUGAUGUUUCAAUACAGAACAGCAGAUAAUUCAUUUGUCGAGCGCUUCUUGAACGAUCAUUUUUGGUCGGUCGUUAUAUUGAAAUUUCAAGAGAAUUAAAGCCUUCUCAUCCGUGCAAUCAUAAGAAAGAAGUCGCCUUUCACCUAGAGCUCUAUAAAUACCGAAGGAAACCUUCAGCAAAGGAGUUCUUUGGACAGUUAGAGAAUUUUCCUUAGAUAGAAUAACCUUGUUCAUAGUUUUCCUUUUUAUUUAGAAGUCGGAGCGAGAGAAGGGAAGAGACGUCGGACGAUCGCUCAGGGCAACUCGAGAGAGAAUCCA